UCCGUAAUGGUCUAGUGGCUAGGAUUUGUCGCUCUCAUCACUUUGAAAGAUCCGACAAGGCCGGGGUUCAAUUCCCCGUUACGGAA